rnacentral:rRNA from 1 species
UACAGAGGCCACGAGCGUUAGGCGGAAUCACUGGGCUUAAAGCGUGUGUAGGUGGAUGACUAAGUACCUUGUGAAAUCCCACGGCUCAACCGUGGAACUGCCGGGCAUACUGGCGAUCUUGAGGCAUUCAGGGGCGAGCGGAACAAAUGGUGGAGCGGUGAAAUGCGUAGAUAUCAUUUGGAACGCCAAUGGUGAAAACAGCUCGCUGGGAAUGAUCUGACACUGAGACGCGAAAGCCAGGGGAGCGAACGGG